GAUCAUGGCUCAGAUUGAACGCUGGCGGCAGGCCUAACACAUGCAAGUCGAACGGUAACAGGAAACAGCUUGCUGUUUCGCUGACGAGUGGCGGACGGGUGAGUAAUGUCUGGGAAACUGCCCGAUGGAGGGGGAUAACUACUGGAAACGGUAGCUAAUACCGCAUAACGUCGCAAGACCAAAGAGGGGACCGUUAGGGCCGUCUUGCCAUCGGAUGUGCCCAGAUGGGAGUUAGCUAGUAGGUGGGGG
rnacentral:rRNA from 1 species